rnacentral:rRNA from 1 species
UGAGGAAUAUUGGUCAAUGGGCGAAAGCCUGAACCAGCCAAAUCGCGUGAAGGAAGACAGCCCUACGGGUUUUAAACUUCUUUUGUAAGAGAGUAAAAAGUGCUACGUGUAGCAUAUUGCAAGUAUCUUACGAAUAAGCAUCGGCUAACUCCGUGCCAGCAGCCGCGGUAAUACGGAGGAUGCGAGCGUUAUCCGGAUUUAUUGGGUUUAAAGGGUGCGCAGGCGGGCUGAUAAGUCAGCGGUGAAAAAUCGGGGCUCAACCCCGGCACUGCCGUUGAAACUGUCAGUCUUGAGUAUAGAUGAAGUAGGCGGAAUUCGUUGUGUAGCGGUGAAAUGCAUAGAUAUAACGAAGAACCCCGAUUGCGUAGGCAGCUUACUAAACUAUUACUGACGCUCAAGC